rnacentral:rRNA from 1 species
AUUGGACUUUAUUUGCGCAGCAUAGGUGGGAGGCAUUGAGUUUAUUCUUGCGGGAAUUUAGGAGCCAUCAGUGAGAUACCACUCUGGUAAUGUUAGAUUUCUAACUUUGUAUCAUGAUCUGGUCAAAGAACAGUUUCAGGCGGGCAGUUUGACUGGGGCGGUCGCCUCCCAAAUGGUAACGGAGGCGUACAAAGGUAUCCUCUGAACGUGUAGAAAUCGUAUCUAGAGUGUAAAGGCAUAAGGAAGCUUGACUGUGAGACCUACAAGUCGAGCAGGGACGAAAGUCGGUCUUAGUGAUCUGACGGUGCUGAGUGGAAAGGCCGUCACUCAACGGAUAAAAGUUACUCUAGGGAUAACAGGCUGAA